GCGCGGGUAGCUCAGUUGGAUAGAGCGUUGGCCUCCGAAGCCAAAGGCCGCGGGUUCGACUCCCGCCUCGCGCA
rnacentral:tRNA from 2 species